GGGAGGAGCAUCCACAACUCAAAAGGCUAGAAAGGCUCAGAGGCUGUGUGUGGGCAGUGAUUCUUCUCCGCAGUGCAGGGUUUGAUGCGAGAACCUCUUCUCUGAGGGCAAGAGUGAGCAGAGUGAGAAGAGGGUUUGAGGGUUUCGGUUACUUCUGAAAAAGAAGCAGCAUCUCUUCAUGUGAGAAGGGGUCCCAGAGGCUGCUCUCCAGGCGGAGGCGCUAGGCUGGGCUCUUCUGCAGCGGGCCCCCCACGCCAGCCCUGCAGACCUGCAGACCCUUGGGAAGGGCCAUGUCCUCCUCCAGGCCGCUUGUGUGCUCCACGAGUUCCUCCUUAUAGAGACACCUUGCAUUCCUUGGUUUGGACUACCUUCCAUCUUCAAAGCCAGCAAUGUCUGAUGGAGUCUUUGUCAGACUGACCCUCCAAACUUGAUCUGUCCCCACUGAGGAUCCUUAUGAUUACACUAGACCCAUUUGGAUAAUCCAGGAUCAUCCUUUUAAGGUUGCUACAUUCAGAUCUAAUAAAGUCCUUGCCGUAGUGAAAGGAUUGAAGUUGCUUACAGUGGAGCAACAUCAGAGCCAUGGUUUCCUAAAAGCAUGUGAAAGUGAAAAUGAAGUUGCUCAGUCGUGUCCAACCCUCAGCGACCCCAUGAACCGCAGCUUUCCAGGCUCCUCCUUCCAUGGGAUUUUCCAGGCGAGAGUACUGGAGUGGGAUGCCCAUUGCCUUCUACCAUUCAAAACCUGCUCUACUUACCUUCAGAAAUGUUAGCUGAGAGAGACAAAGUUCUACCUGGUUACCUGCAUGUCUCCCUACCAUGAAUGAUGCAGUCAUUGGAGCAGGGGCUCUGGUACCAGGAUCCUUCCACCCAGUGACUUCAUGAGUGGAAAUUCCCAACUACCCAGAGGUUUCUUUGAGGGACAAAUGCAUCUCAAGCACGGCUACAGAGACUGAAUGUGAGGAAAUAUAAUUCCAAAAAGUCAGAUGGGGGUCUAAGUGUGUGGAGCAAAAUAAAUUUAUCAGGCAGGCAUUAAGCCACUCUUCACAAUUCUAAACAAAGUAGGAGAAGAAAGAUGCAGAGACCAAGAGAGAAGCUCACACAACCAUAAGAGGCAGUGAGUCUGAAUUUACAUUUGAGGAAACUGAAGCACACAGAUGGGAAACAACUACCUAAGACAUACUGGAGCAAGAUGCUGCUGUACCGUCUGGCAGGAUAAAUAGCCCUCAUCACCAGCACAUUUUAUAGUUAGGCCAUUCCCAAGAGAUGUCACGCAGAUACCUCACUUCCAGUGUCUACAUGAAUCCGCAAAAUUCUGAUGACAGAUUCCUAAGCAGGAACUACAUUUCUGCUUCUGUGUCAAGGCAGUUGCUUAUGUACCAUUUCAAAAUUGGAAGCUAACCUUUUCAAAAUGUCAGUGCACUUAUUUCACCAUCUUUAUAAUUACCAGCAAUUUACAUUUAUUCAGUAGCUUCACAGUUUGAGUACUGUGUAAAAUUCUGUUAUUCUUUGAGAACCUAUGUUCCAAGGAAGAUUCAUCUAUCCUGUGUUUAAGGUGGUUACAGACAACUGGCAAAUAUACCUGGACAAAUGUUAUAGUCUGUUUUUCAACACGCUUCUCACCUGGGGGUAGAAGAAUUCUGUUAUUUUUGUUGAUAAGUGAGUCUUUCAAAAUGACUGUCUACCCAGAAGUUAAUUGCAAACAUAUGGAGAGUUGACUUUGAUUGAAGCUGGUGUAUAUGUCUUCCUAAGUUUGUAUUCUUACAAUGGAAGCCCCUGCCAAGAUUGUUGGAAGAUAUUUAGAGGAAAAUAUUUAUAAAACUUUAUAGAACAUGGUCAUGUAAUUCAAUGUCUCCUGAAUUAUGCUAGCUUGGACUUUUGACUCAUAGUUGUAUGAAUGUUGGAAAGUUAAAUUAUCUCAGGUUGUUCAGGCAAACAGUCAUUAAAUAAGAUGUUAACAGCUUAAAACAGAAAUAUCUGCUUCCCAAAGUGUUCAGUUUUAUAGAAACUAAGUACCACAAGUCUUUAUAUCACUAAAAGGCCUAAAAUAAAUAAUAUAAAGAUCAUCCUUAACACAUGUUCAAAAAUUUUAGGAUAUUUUCUAAGAUCGGAAUUUCAGUUAUAUUCUUUUUUUUAUGCCCAUUGAGAGAAAGCCUGGAUGUUUUUGUUACCUUGAUUUGAGGAUCAAGUUCGUUGGGCAGUGUGGGAAGGGCCAUGUACUUCUGCCUUAACUCAAAACUCUAUUAGGUUAGAUUCAGAAUAAAUAGAUCUCAUAGCCAAAUUGGUUUAUUUUUGUGCUCUGCAUUUGCUCACCCCAAAAUACCGUUUUUUUUUUUUUUUUGGUCCUAAGGGAGGUGCAAAUUGGAGCUAAAAAAUAAAGCAAUAUGUCUUCCAGUCUUGAGUGUCCUCUUAUUUCCAAAGUCAGUGAUAGCACAGCCCUUGUCUUUAUCAGACUGGUUACUCCAGCUCCAACAGAGGAAAAAGAGUCAUGGUAUCAAAAUAACUA